UUUCAUUUCCUGGUAUUAGAAACUAACCUGAAAAUUUUCCCAGUUUUGUGGGACAGUGGUUCCAUUAACAUUCUUAAGCCUUCCCACACCAAUCUUCUUAUAGAGAUAUUUGUUUUUUACUAAAAUUCUGAGUUGCAAGAAUUCCUUUGAUUGUCAGUUUAUUGGCCGUGUUAAUUUAUUUUAUUCAAAGUGGGUUACCAACUGUAUUAAAGCUGCUUUCCAACAGCGAGAUAUGGGACUGCUAAUGAGAUCAGUGGACAAUGAAUAUGAAUGGAAAUCAGAGUGCAUUCUUCCUUUUCCUGCAGCACAAAGGCAUACACAGUAAAUCCAAGAAUCACUGUAGAAUCAAUGAAAGACCACAUCCAACAGGAUGAACAAGCAACCGAUGGGCAAAAGACAACAGACAGUGCAAAUACACAAGAAAUAAUAAUAAUAAUUAAAUAAGCAAUAAAUAUCAAGAACAUGAGAUGAGGUCUAUGAAAGUGAGUCCAUAGGUGUGGGAACAGUUCAUUGGUGGGUUGAGUGAAGUUAAGUGAUGUUAUCCUCUCUGGUUCAAGAGCCUGACGGUUGAGGGGUAAUAACUGUUCCUGAACCUGGUGGUUUGUGAGUUCUGAGGCUCCUGUACCUUCGUCCUAAUUGCAACCACAAGAAGGGAGCAUGUCCUGGGUUGUGGGUGUCUUUGAUGAUGGAUGCUACUUUCCUGAUAAUGUUUCAUGUAGACGUGCUUAAAGCUGGGGAGGGCUUUACCCACGAUGGACUGGGCCAUAUCCACUACUUUUUGUCAGAUUUUCCAUUCAGGGGCAUUGUUGUUUCCAUACCAGACUGUGUUGCAACACGAUGCAUGAUUCAGAUCUGUCACAUCACCGGAUUCAGCAAUUCAUGCAAUCUUUCUGAGGGUUCAUCUGAUCUCCUGCUCAAGUUACAACUGAGACAACUCCUGCGGGAAUUCAUGUCUGAAGUACUUAGCUAUUGAGUCAUCAAUAGCUCUCUGGAGUUUGUCUUGACAUUGGAGUUUUACUGUAAACAUUGAAUGAUUAAUAAAAAUUAAAGCGGGUG